CUCUAUUGAGUCUGGCAACCCCACUUGCACAUAGCCAGGAAAGUGGAGUUAGCUUUGGGGAAGCUAGAGGAUGAAGUAAUCAAGGUGUUAGAGGCAAAGCUACUGGAGCUAUCAAAGCAGCAUUGUUGCUAGAAAGAAAAAUGUGACCAUUGUGCUUAGACAUGAUGGAGAACAAGAAAAACUGGAUAUUUAAAAGAGACAAGCUAGGGCAAAGCAGAACUAUGUGACAUGUGACUCAAGAGUGUCAAUCAUCUGCUCUUGGGUUGUCACCUGCUUUUGGGGGAAGAAUUGUGACUCGAUAGUAGAGCACCUGUUUUGCAUGUAGAAACUCCCAGCUUCAAUCCUUGGCAUCUCCAGGUAGGACUGGAAGAGACUCCUGACUGAAUUCCUGGAGAGCUGCCAA